AGCAGCCGCGGUAAUUCCAGCUCCAAUAGCGUAUAUUAAAGUUGUUGCAGUUAAAAAGCUCGUAGUUGAAUUUCGGGAUCAGUACGUUGGUCGUGCCUUAGGUACGUACUGGUGUUACUGGUUCCUACCUUCUGACGAACCAUCAUGUCAUUAAUUUGGUGUGGCGGGGAAUCAGGACUGUUACUUUGAAAAAAUUAGAGUGUUUAAAGCAGGCUCGCGCUUGAAUACAUUAGCAUGGAAUAAUGAAAUAGGACGUUGAUCCUAUUUUGUUGGUUUCUAGGAUUGACGUAAUGAUUAAUAGGGAUAGUUGGGGGCAUUAGUAUUCAAUUGUCAGAGGUGAAAUUCUUGGAUUUAUUGAAGACUAACUACUGCGAAAGCAUUUGCCAAGGAUGUUUUCAUUAAUCAAGAACGAAAGUUAGGGGAUCGAAGACGAUCAGAUACCGUCGUAGUCUUAACCAUAAACUAUGCCGACUAGGGAUCGGAUGAUGUUAAUUUUUAAUGACUCAUUCGGCGCCUUACG
rnacentral:rRNA from 1 species